rnacentral:rRNA from 1 species
CAGUAGCCGCGGGAAUACAGAGGGUGCAAGCGUUAAUCGGAAUUACUGGGCGUAAAGCGCGCGUAGGUGGUUUGUUAAGUUGGAUGUGAAAUCCCCGGGCUCAACCUGGGAACUGCAUCCAAAACUGGCAAGCUAGAGUAUGGUAGAGGGUGGUGGAAUUUCCUGUGUAGCGGUGAAAUGCGUAGAUAUAGGAAGGAACACCAGUGGCGAAGGCGACCACCUGGACUGAUACUGACACUGAGGUGCGAAAGCGUGGGGAGCAAACAGGAUUAGAUACUCCAGUAGUCCCUGUCUCUUAUAA